rnacentral:rRNA from 1 species
UAACGCGUGGAUAACCUGCCGUAUGCAGGGGGAUAACAGUUGGAAACAGCUGCUAAUACCGCAUAAGCGCACAAUACCGCAUGGUACUGUGUGAAAAGAUUUAUCGGCAUACGAUGGAUCCGCGUCCGAUUAGCCAGUUGGCGGGGUAACGGCCCACCAAAGCGACGAUCGGUAGCCGGCCUGAGAGGGCGGACGGCCACAUUGGGACUGAGACACGGCCCAAACUCCUACGGGAGGCAGCAGUGGGGAAUAUUGCACAAUGGGGGAAACCCUGAUGCAGCGACGCCGCGUGAGUGAAGAAGUAUCUCGGUAUGUAAAGCUCUAUCAGCAGGGAAGAAAAUGACGGUACCUGACUAAGAAGCCCCGGCUAACUACGUGCCAGCAGCCGCGGUAAUACGUAGGGGGCAAGCGUUAUCCGGAUUUACUGGGUGUAAAGGGAGCGUAGACGGCGCUGCAAGUCCGGAGUGAAAGCCCAUGGCUUAACCAUGGUACUGCUCUGGAAACUGUGGAGCUUGAGUGCGGGAGGGGCAGGCGGAAUUCCUAGUGUAGCGGUGAAAUGCGUAGAUAUUAGGAGGAACACCGGCGGCGAAGGCGGCCUGCUGGACCGUAACUGACGUUGAGGCUCGAAAGCGUGGGGAGCAAACAGGAUUAGAUACCCUGGUAGU